CUACGGGAGGCAGCAGUCAAGAAUCUUCCACAAUGCACGAAAGUGUGAUGGAGCGACGCCGCGUGAACGAUGAAGCCUUUAGGGGUGUAAAGUUCUUUUCUUAGUGAAAAAUUUUUGAUGUUAGCUAAGGAAUAAGGGGCUGCUAACUACGUGCCAGCAGCAGCGGUAAUACGUAGGCCCCGAGCGUUAUCCGGUUUUAUUGGGCGUAAUGAGUCUGUAGGUGGUUUAUUAAGUCAAAUGUCAAAUAUCUCGGCUCAACUGAGAAAAGGUGUUUGAUACUGAUAAACUAGAGGACGGGAGAGGCAAGUGGAAUUGGUGGUGUAGUCGUUAUAAGCGUUAAUAUCACCAGGAACACCAAAUGCGAAGGCAACUUGCUAGAACGAUCCUGACACUGAGAGACGAAAGCGUGGGUAGCGAAUGGGAUUAGAUACCCGCGUAGUC
rnacentral:rRNA from 1 species